ACAGACCACUGAAGAGGCAGCAUGUAACUUGCCCAGCAGAGAAAGAUGGUGUCCAGCACUCUACCAAAGACCCUGCUGCCCACGAGAGAACUGCAUCGGGUCGGGACAAUGAAACCACAUGUGUCGCACAGGGGAUCACCGAGUGAGCUGCUCAGUGUUGUGAUUCCCCAACGACACUGGAAAAGCAGUUUUUGUCAGGAGACUUUUGUCUUUAUUGAUGAAUUGGGGGCCACUUUUUAGAAGAUUCCUAUCCAUUUGCUGAAAAUGUCCGGAUGGCGAGCACAGACCGGAAGAUGAGAUCUGCAUCUAUGCUCUUUCCUGCAUAUGGUGAUAUCUCCUGGGAGACACUGCAAAUCAAGAGUCAGUUAUGGACGGCAGAACGGAGUUGUCUAUGGCAUCAGCCACAGUUUACAUUGUGUUCAGAUUCUUGAAUGGCAGAAGAGAGAGCAGAGUUGAAGUCCAGGUAUACAGAGACCAGAGGACAUUGAGUGUCCAGCUGUAGUAUGCUUCCUUGAGACAGACUCUUCCUCUCUGAAUGUGAAGCUAGCCUGGAAACCAGCAAGCCCCAGCAAUUCCCCUGCCUCUGCCCCCAACAACAAUGGCAUUGUAAGGGUAUGUGGCCACACAUACCUUGGUAUAUCAGUGUUAGGGAUUUGAACUCACGUCUCCACACUUUCACAGCAAGUUCUUUAGCCCAUAGAUCCCUAUUCCCAACCCCACCCACAUUUCUUUCUGCGGGAUUCUGUUAUGAUUUCCCAGCGUCGGCCCAUUUCCCCUUAAAUACUUCCGUCUGUACGUGUCGCUGACUUGUCUCAGUCCGGUGACAACAUACCUGAGGAAGGCAACUUAAGCUUCUCACGACUCAGUUUCAGGGUCUUUCAGUCUACCACAGAGAAAGGGGCCUGGUGGCAUCCAUGGUGGUGGGAAUGUAUAGCAGGGACUUCUGCCCACAGUGUGCCAGGAAGCAGGGGACAAAGGCCAGAACCAAUAGUUACUGUGACUUAGGGUCCAUCUUUAGAGAGCAUCUUUUAUCAGCUUGGUUCCACCUCUUUAUAAUGCCACAGCCUUUGAUAUAGUGCCAUAUCUGGGAACAACUAUUCCAAAUAAGAAUAAUAAUAUUUCUUUAUGUAAUUGUGGCACAAAAAUCAAGUUCAGGAAGUGUACCAUUGCUAUAAUACUUUGUCUAAUAUAAAGACCAAAUUUGCAUUUUUUCCAAUUAGCUCAAUCUUUCUUUCUGAAAACAAGGUCUGGCGACAUAGUCCAGGAUGGUCUUGAAGUUCAAUAUGUAUAUAUGUAUACACACACACACACACACACACACACACACACACACACAGCGCAACAUCUUUUCCUGUUUUGCAAUCAUCUAUCACAUUCAGUUGCCUUGCGGCUAACAGCGGACAGUCUCUCCCGCAUAAUGUUGACAGUUGCUUUAUAGAAUGUUCUUCAUCUCCAGAUGUUUCCACUGGAUUAUUUUUUAUUUAGUCUCUCUCCUUUGUGCCAGUUUUUUUUUAACAUGUGCUUCCCUUUGCCCCUUUGGGUUCCACUAAGUCCCAGAAACAGACAUUUGUGUUGAUGGAUAGAUUGUUUGUAAUAUGAGCUUCUUCUGAUGUUUUCAUGUUUUUUACUUUGUUGAAUGUGCUAUGGAUCAAUGCCUGAAAAGUUUCAGUAAUUUGAAAUUAGAUAAAUGAAACAAGUGACCAACAAAGAAGUAUCCCACAGUUU